UCCUUUCACACUCAACUUGAUAAUAUCAAUGAAUGUUGUAGAUUUAUUUCAGAAAGGAAUCCUAUAGUAUAUAUGGUAAAACUCAAUUGGGUUUCCUAAUGUUUAUUUUAUUUGUGUUGAAUUGGUCAGUUAGUUUACUUUGACCUCUGUGUUGCGAUGAAGUAACAUAUUUUUUUAUUGUUACUUUUGCUCUGCCAUUUGCUCGAGUGUGAGAGACACCAGUUCGUCACUUCUAUGAGAGUUGAAGUUGCUGAGCCAUGGGACAAUUAUGUCUUCCACUUUGGGAGAUCAUUGCUUGGUCUUGUUUACCUCAUCUUUUUUAUUGGCACUUCCAUACCUGUGAAGUUGUUGGGUAUCAAUAGACAUGUUUUCUACUACUCCCUCUGGCCCGAUUUGCAUGAUGUGGUGGACAUUUUGCAAAAAACCCCUUCACGAAUUUCCGACACAAUUAGAAACCCUCCCACCGCUUCUAUUUUCUCACGUUCUUCUCAUGGAUUCUUCAAUUUUGUUCCCAUGUGAAUGUAUGGUUGCAAACAACCUUGACAACAACGCUAGAUUGAUGCGUUGUAAUAAAAACUAUUAUACUACUAUUGUAUGCUUAAUUCUACAAAUGUGACCUCUUUCACUCUGUAUACUGUUGUUUGUCUGAUUGCCCAAGUUUUAACUAUCUGCACACCCAUUAGGAUCAAACAGCUAACACGAAUAAAUCCGAGGAUGUAGAGUUUAUUAAAACGUACUUCUUAAUAGCAUCCUCACUAUUUCAAUAGCCUUAAUUUCUUAUGUUGAAUGACUAUAUUAGUGUCUUCUUCUUGGUAGCUAUCUAAACAACACAGCUCUUUUGCUUUCUACUUCAGUUUUGUAGUUAGCCCUUUAAUAGGGGGUAUGCUCAAUAGUAGUUUUUUUCUGUUCUUACAGGUGUCUUUGAUUCACGGAUUUGCAAUCACUGCUGGGGAAUAAACAUGGACUUUAUGAAUCAUGUCAUUUUUCUCAAGGGAUACUUUUCAGGUUUUAAAUCUUCUCUACUGUCACUUAAGGGCUAUGGCUGUUUGUUCAGCCAAAUGAUACAAGUGUUCAGUCAUGAUAUUUCAUUUUCAACGGAAAUAUGUAUGCGUUAUCCAGGCUGCAGGUCGAGGUAUCCAGACUCCACAGUCCACGCAUCGUGUCAUUUUUCUCAAGGGAUACUUUUCAAGUUUUAAAUCUUCUCUACUGUCACUUAAGUGCUAUGGCUGUUUCGUCUUAUCCUGGCUGCAGGACGAGGUAUCCAGACUCCACAGUCCACACAUCUGGUACCUUGUUCUGACGAACUAGGUAUGUUAUCUCUUUUGGAUUACAAUUAUCUUAUUUGUGGGUAGAAGAAAACUUUGGUUAUCUUAGCAGACAAAGCUUGCUUGGAAAGCAACAUUCAACAUACUUCUCACCAAUCAGUCCAAUAGUUUAUGCGACUGGUUAUUGGUAAAUUAAGUUGGAUAAAACUCCCUUUUAUCAAUGUUGACUACUUCUCUGUGUUCCAUUCAUUAAGAGCUCUACAUACUCUCAUGGCAGAAGUUGUGUUGAUCAGAUUAGCUAAUCAUGCUUGAAUAAUUUUAUAUCCAAUAUUGCCAAUCCUUUAUUCAUUUGUUGCAGAGUAAUAUAUAUUCAAUGUGGACAUAAUCCACAUAUCAUUGUUUAUCUCUUCAAUUUUCAUUAGCAGAAUUUUACCACUUCCAAAUAGAUGGGAGGUAGAGUAUUUGAAGGUUCAUCAACCAGAUGGUCUGCUAAGAAUUGUUUAAGCAUUUUAAAGUUUUUUUUCUGCCAUGUCAUUUCUAAAAUGAUUGUUUGAUUGAAGUACUUGUAUUCUUACAAUGUAUUGGGAAUUUGGAUAAAUUGGUGAGGUGUGGGAGGUUGUUUGCUUUCUUGUUAUAUUUUGAAUAACUGAUGAAAAGAAUAAUAGCCUAAUGUUGCACAUUCUUAAGGAUCACGAUUAGUUUCAUGUAUACAAAAUAGUAGGAGGUGGUAUCUUCUAUCUCCAUUUCCAGACAAGUUUUUGGUUGGAACAUGUUGGUAUUAUUUUGAAAAAUGGAACGCAACCCAAUCAUCAAAGUGUGCCCUGGUAGAGUCAAAACAAAAAUUAUCUGACUUAUUCCCUACGCCAUGAUUAGUUAUACACUUGGAAUUUCUAAUCUGGAUAUCACAUUGUACAGAUGUACUGUUAGUCUGAUUCGGUUUUUCCUAAAAAUAGUUCGCCAAUCAGGAAAACCUCCGGUUAUUUUUGAACGAGAAGCUAAUAUGAUUGCCACGUAGUGUCUUAGCAUACUAUUCUUUAGAGCAAUAUAUACUACAUAUGAAACUAUUUAAAUAAGCAUCAAAUAAACAUUAUUACGUUCUGUUUAUGUCCUAGGAAUUUAUCUUUUCUAAUUUACUAUUUUGCUUAUACAAGUUGCUCUGUUUUAAGGAAUCCAUUUUUUCUGGUUUAUUUUAAUUCCAAAUGAACUCAAAUUAUUUGGAACUGAACCUGCAUGGUUGCCCUGGUUCAUGAAGUGUGGUCAUAUAGAGGACAUAGACAUACCUCUAUCAAAUAAGGUGAUAGAGCCUGAACUUUUGACAACUCGAUCAUUUUUUUGCUGCUCUAAUUUUCUCUCUACGGAGAAAGAAUGAAGGAUUGGACAGGUAAUUAGUCUCUUGAAACCAACAUAUUUUGUUUUGAGAGUAAUAGUAGGAGUAACAUCACAAGAGUGACCUAAUUUUCCUAUUAGGUACAACCUGACAAAUAUGUGAUACUGAUUUAUUUUGUAGCAUGACUCUAGCAUUGUAGUUUGCCUAAGGUUGAUUGUUGUAAAAUUGAGUCAAGCGGUUGGGUGGCGUGUCCAGAAUUUCCUUUCUUCUCUUUCUUCGGUAAGAAAAAAUAUUGUCCAGGAGAUCUCCCCUACACGGGUUUGUGAGAAGGCAUGCUCUUAAAGGUGGAGUAAUUCUUUUAUUGGAAGAUAUGUAUGGUUGCUCCUGAAAAUUAUUUUAGGGUUCGUUUCUGCAGUCUAAAUGAUUGUCACAUUGUUUGCGUAAAGUAUUCUCCACAAAGGUGAUUAGGCAAGAAUAUAAAUGAAAUCAUUCAUACUGUUUAUGAUUCCUUUGUUUGAACUAACUGUGUUUUAUUUAUGUUGUUCAAUUCAAAUGUUAGAGAAGUUGUUCCCAGUAUUCAAUAGCAUUUUCUUCUAUUAUUGAUGUUCCAAGUUCUAUAUAGUACUGUUUCUAUCUGCCUAAACCAUACUAUCAGUCCAUGUAUAUUUUUAUAGUGCAAUUAUUAAAUCUUCAUAUUCGCUAAAUUUUGUACUCUGGAUUUUCCAUUCAGAUCAGAAGAGUAGAAUGUGUACAUAGUUCAAGAAAGCAUUUGAGUAUAGUAGUCGUAAAUGUCUCCACUAUAGCUAUUACACGUUUUGAUGAUUUUGAAGUGUUUGUGUGGUUAAAUUUACCCGACUAUUGAAUCUUUGUCUUUUCUUCAUAAGUACUUUUAGUUAUGGGCUUAAUCUCUCCUCUUAUGGAUUAUCCUACUGGCUUUGUAUUUUAUUCAAAAAAAAACUAUGGUGCCUUCCCCUCAGUUGGUCUGUUUUGGGAUAAUCGUUGGCUGUCAGAGUUGACAGCUAUGCUUAGAUCGGAUCAGGAAAGACAGUUCGUCCAUCAUUUUCUUCUCUUCCUUUCGAAUUGCAGUACCUGAAAUGUCAAAGGUUAGAGUUCAUAGUACUGAUGAGGUAUGAACUUUCUACUAUAUCAGUUCGUAAAAGAGUAAUCACAUACUAAUGCAGAUUCUUCUUUGUUUGAAUUUACUUUGCUACACUCUCUAAAAGUACCCCGUUAUUUUAGAAACAUGCAUAGGUUCACAUGUUAAAACAUGGAUUGAUAUUGAACCAAUGUCUUGCUUAGUUGACUCAAUUUUUCAUCUCUUUCUAUUCAAUUAUAUGAGUAUCUUAUCUCGCUUCCAGAGACCUCACAUUUCCUCCAGUAUUUGUAAGUCAGUUUUUGGUAUAAUAAUUUGAAUAUGUAUAGAGAUCUCUCACCUGCUUCAGUAUGUUACGUUUUCUUUAUAAUUAUAAUGGAGGCAAUCGUGAAUUCAUUUCCAGUUAGGCCUAAUCUUUUAUAUUAGAUCUAUUCUUCUUGUGGGUUCAUUCCCUUGAGCUUCUGCUCUUUUAGUUCAUAUGCAGUGUCGCGUCUUCUGUCAAUCCAGAUGAUGGCAAAGCCAAGGAUGAGGAUCAUGAUUCACCUUCUUUGGAUGAUCAAAGGUGAGGGUCAUGCAUGUUCAUAUGGUGGUGGCGCUUGAAAAUCGAUUCUUGCUUUCUUUAGUUUCUUGGUCUUCCAGUUAUGCAUUAGGACACCUCAAAAACAGGGAUGAUCUGUGCAUUGUUGCAACAACUUUGUGCCUCACUAUAUUCAUGCCUUGGUGACUCAUGUUCCCUAGAUUGACAGUAUAGUUUUGAUGCUACAUAAGUUAAUUCUUCCAAUAACUACUACUACUACAUUUUGAAUAGACACUGCCUUCGAAAGCUUCGCCGUCAACACUACUGAUAUAUGAUUAUAUAGGUAUCAGACUAAACAUUUAUAUUUGGAAGAUGUAAUCUAAUACAUGACUUACUGACAUGAGCCUUUAUCAAAGAAAGGCAAUCAUUAGAACUUCUAGAAAAAUAAAAAACCAUCCAUCUUUAUGUAAUUUUAAUAGCUGCCAAUCGACGGCCGGUGUAGGAAUCUAUAAGAUGGAAAAUGCAUGUGAUUUGCAUAUUUAGCCUGAGUGUUCAGUCUUCCUGUUAGAAUAAAAAAUAAUGUUUUUUUGGCAGAUCUGAGUAUAUAGCAUCCACUAUUCUUGAGGACAUGCAUCGAUUGAUGCACAAAGCAAAAGUACAGUACUCUGAAUUUGGCUUCUCUUGACUUCUGUUUGUAGUUUGCCUGAAUAAGAAAGUGCGCUAUGCACAGAGUGUCAAUGUUACCAAUUUUCAAAUUUUCCAUUGCUGGAUCAAUGGUGUUUAAACUGAAACAAUAUUUCCAUAUUAUCUCUUAUUUACCAAAAAUAACUUGGUACAUCCUAGCAUAAAAGAAAUUAAAACAAUAGUUAUACAACAUUCUCUUAAUUAUGCAUUGCUGACAUUUCUCUCCAAUACGGCAUGCAGGUUCCCUCUUGAAACGAUCACUUAAAGUGGCUAUAAUUGCAAUAAUCUGCAGCAGGAAAUAUAGAUUUGGCCUCAUCUUACAUCGGUAAUUAAACACUUAGGAAAAAAGGUAGGAAAAAAUUAACCAAAAACACUAUGUUUGGUACUAUCAAUUUUUACCCAAAAAUUAUUAAUUCAUAUAUGUUAACCAAUUCUAGCAAAGUGGCCCAUCUUAUGGUUCAGCGUUUUCCAUAACAUCUAGGCACUCCAUUUGAAUUCCUAUAAAUUAAAGGCUCCAAGCCCAUACAUGAUAACAUUACCGAUCGGAGAUAAUAGCAGUAAUAUAAAUAUAUUAUAUUCAUGCAUAGUAGAGAUUUUAUCCAACAAUGUUACAUGUCCUCUUAGUUGCUCUCCCUACACAAUUGCAAGAUCUAGCCACCUAGGCGUGAUGAAAUGAUCCAUCUAAACAAUUCUAUGAUCUAAAAUGACUUCCACAGUCAUACAUUUUAGUCAUAUGCAUAUAAUCUUGCAUAUUGGUGAAGACUGUACGAGCUCUGUCUUACUUCAGUACAUGGUUAUAGAAUACUAAAUGGUGGAGACUACUAGAGAUCAAGCAGAUUAUGUCCCACCUGCCAUAACUUGCAAUGUUGGAAAAAAAAGCAUGUCGUCGUUGUUGUUCCGGUAUUAGGAAAGAUGCCCAGCCAUAGCAUUCAGCAGCAGCUAUAUAGUGCCUAUUGAUCCAAGAGCGAACAACCAAAGAUCUACACUGGCAGAAGAUGAAUGAACCCCAGAAGAUACACCGACUUGGGAUGUCAUGGAAAUAGUCCACACAGAUUUAGCAGAGGACAUGAGACCCACGGGAGAGUACAAGAAAAAAAAUUCAGCACAAACGGCUACAUGGGCCGAAAAAAGCACAUGAAGAGAAGAAAGCCAACAAGGAAUUAUUCCUGCCCAGGUAAGAAGCUCCACCUAGGUAAACACC